CAGCAGCCACGGUAAUACGUAGGUCCCGAGCGUUGUCCGGAUUUAUUGGGCGUAAAGCGAGCGCAGGCGGUUAGAUAAGUCUGAAGUUAAAGGCAGUGGCUUAACCAUAGUACGCUUUGGAAACUGUUUAACUUGAGUGCAAGAGGGGAGAGUGGAAUUCCAUGUGUAGCGGUGAAAUGCGUAGAUAUAUGGAGGAACACCGGUGGCGAAAGCGGCUCUCUGGCUUGUAACUGACGCUGAGGCUCGAAAGCGUGGGGAGCAAACAGGAUUAGAUACCCGCGUAGUCCCUGUCUCUUAUACA
rnacentral:rRNA from 1 species